CCUACGGGAGGCAGCAGUGAGGAAUAUUGGUCAAUGGGCGGAAGCCUGAACCAGCCAAGUAGCGUGCAGGAUGACGGCCCUACGGGUAGUAAACUGCUUUUAUACGGGAAUAACGCGCCUUACGUGUAGGGCUUUGCAUGUACCGUAUGAAUAAGGACCGGCUAAUUCCGUUCCAGCAGCCGCGGUAAUACGGAGGGUCCGGGCGUUAUCCGGAUUUAUUGGGUUUAAAGGGAGCGUAGGCCGCAUGUCAAGCGUGCUGUGAAAUGGCCGGGCUCAACCCGGGCCUUGCAGCGCGAACUGGCGUGCUUGAGGCCGAGGAAAGCAGGCGGAAUUCGUCGUGUAGCGGUGAAAUGCGUAGAUAUGACGAAGAACACCGAUUGCGAAGGCAGCUUGCUGCAGCGGAACUGACGCUGAUGCUCGAAAGCGCGGGGAUCGAACAGGAUUAGAUACCCUAGUAGUC
rnacentral:rRNA from 1 species